GAUGAAGAACGUAGCGAAAUGCGAUAAGUAAUGUGAAUUGCAGAAUUCAGUGAAUCAUCGAAUCUUUGAACGCACAUUGCGCCCGCUGGUAUUCCGGCGGGCAUGCCUGUCUGAGCGUCAUUUCAACCCUCACGCCCCUAGGGCGUGGUGUUGGGGAUCGGCCAAGGCCCGCAAGGGACGGCCGGCCCCUAAAUCUAGUGGCGGACCCAUCGUGGCCUCCCCUGCGAAGUAGUAAUAUAUUCCGCAUCGGAUAGCGAUGAGCCCCUGCCGUUAAACCCCCAACUCUUUCAAGGUUGACCUCAGAUCAGGUAGGAAUACCCGCUGAACUUAAGCAUAUCAAUAAGCGGAGGA
rnacentral:misc_RNA from 1 species